CUUAUUUGAUCUAUUUGAUCACAUCCGUUCGAAUCGGAUAUUCUCUGAAUAAAUACACAGGUUAGAGCCAGGUGGUUAGGCGUCUCAAUUGGGAUGAGGAAUUGUUAUGUUCGAAUCAUAAUAACCUGAUAAAAAAAAAAAUAAAUAAUUACAUAUGUAUGAUAUUAUUUUUUUUUUUGAUAUAAUAAAUAUCAAAAUAAGUAUAUAAAGAGAUUAUUACGGAUAUCUGGCUAUAUAUUAAAGAUAGAUAUGAAAAAUUAAUAUCUAAUAUAAAUUUAAUAAUAAACAAAGUGAAUUGAAAUAUCUUAAUAACUUUAGGAAAAGAAAUCAAACGAGAUUUUAUUAUUAGUGUAUACUAAUAUAAAAAAGCUUAUAAGUAAAAUGGAAAAUAUCUGUUUGAAUAAAGGGGAACCUUCCUCUAAAGCUAAAUAUAAUAUAUAAGCGAUAGCGAAUAGUACCGUGAGGUAUAGAUAGAAAUAGUAAUUUUAUAAGCAGCUCAAAAAAAAUUUUAAAUAAAUAAUACGAGCGGACCUUUUGCAUAAUGGGUCAGCAAGUUAAACUUAGAUGCAAGCAAAUAAAAAUUAUUUGCCUAGAUAAACCAAUUAUGAGAAAAUGAUAAGUAUCUAAAUUUAGACCCGAAGCUAGUGAUCUUACCAUGAUCAGGCUUAAGGCCGAACGGUUAUCGUUGUAGAGAUAUCCGAUGAAUUGUGGUAAGUUGGUGAAAGACAAAACUGACUAGUAUAGCUGGUUUUCCGCGAAACCUAUGUGAGUAGGUAAUUUAAUUAACAUCUUAGCAGGUACAGAACUAGGAUCUCGGACAAUAUGUAAAUUUUGUACACAUCGGGGGAUCGUGAAGAUUUUAUCGGAGAGUAUUUGCACUCGAAAGGGCAAAGAUGAGUAUUGAAUAAUCGGACAUAGUACGAUAAGGUUGUAUGUCUAAAGGGAAACAGCCCUGAACAAGAGUUAUAAGGUUCCAAAAUUAUUAUUGAGUGAAAUUAAGGAUGUACUUAUCAAAUACAACCAGGAAAUAGGCUUAGAAGCGGCCAUUUUUUGAAGACCUCGUAACAGAGCACUGGUUAAUAAAAUUUCAUUUAGAUAGAUAUGUAUACCGAAAAUUUAACGGAUCUAAAUAAUAUACCGAAACCUUGUUCGUAUAUAUUAAUAUAUAAUAUUAUUUGUUUAAAUAUAUAUAUAUAUAUGAGGUAGCGGAACACUGGAUAAAUAUUAGAUUUUGUCUUUUUUAAGACAAAAAAUUAUAUAAGAAUCCAAGAGAGAAUGCUGGCAUGAGUAACGAAAAAGGAUUUAACAUCCUCGCCUUAAGCUUAUGGUAUUUUAUUUAAAUUUCGGUAUCUAAGUAGGAAGUAAAAUAAGUAAAAUGGUAAAUUGUUUGAAAAAAAACUUCUCCAAAUGGAUUCAAAUACGAUGAUAUAAAUAGAUUAGAGAAAAAACUUUUAUAAAGUGUUAAAGGUUCUGGAAAUUAAAUUUAAUCAAAUAAGCAAUUUUAAUUGCUCGGCGAAAUCCGAAACUAUAUAGACCGUACCUAAAUACUAACACAAGUAAGCAAGUAGAGUAUACAAAGGCGUUUGAGUGAAUAAUCAUUAAGGAACUCGGCAAAUUGACUCCGUAACUUCGGGAUAAGGAGGGCCGUUAUUACAGAAAAAUAUUUCUGUUAAAUAAGAGGAAACAUGAAAUAAUGUUGUACGACUGUUUAAUUAAAACAAAUCACUCUGCAAAGAUUAAAAAUCAAAGUAUUGAGUGUGAUGUCUGCCCAAUGUCGGUUGUAUAACUGAGAUACUUAAUUUAAAAGGUUAGGUUUUGAAGGACACUCCGAUCAAUGGCGGCCUUAUCUAUAAGGGUCCUAAGGUAGCGGAAUACCCUGGCCGUUAAAUGCGGUCUUGCAUGAAUGACUUAACGAUACAACAGCUGUCUCGAUGAUUAGCUCAGUGAAAUUGGAAUAGCGGUGCAGAUACCGCUUAACUCUAGGUAGACGAGAAGACCCUAUGCAGCUUUACUGUUACCUUUUAUGAAUAUAGUAAGUCAAUUGUGAGUGUAUAAGGUAAUUGUUAAAUAAAAUUGAAACACCUUUAUUUAAACUAUUAUAUUCUUUAUGACUGGAAGACAGUUUAUGCGGGGCACAGAUCCCAUAAAAAGUACCUGGGUAUAUCCAAAGUUAAUAAUGUAAGUUUGUAAAUUUUAAUUUACAAUAAUAAUAUAUUUAUAUUUAUAAAUUAUUAUUAUUUAGUUUGUUAUUAAUUAUAUUUUAUAUUUAUUCAGUUAUUAUUGUAUUAAAUUCGAAUUUUAUAAAAUUUAAGUAAGAUUUUAACUAUAUGGUAAAUAGAUGUAUAUCAAAUAUUAAUAAAAAUUUUUUAUUAGUAUUUUAUUUAUAUUAAUAUUGUAUAUAUAAACCUUUAUUAAUAUGAUAAUUAUUUAUACUUUAAAAGUUUAAUGGCUAAAUCUUGCUUUACUGUUUGACUUACAAGUCUAUCAGUCGCGUAAGCGGGGCAUAUGAUCACAAGAUGCAAAAAGGAAAGGUCUUGGAUUAAAGAAAAAGUUACGCUAGGGAUUUUUGUUAGUCCCCCUGUAUUUUAAAAUAUUGGUAAUAAUUUGGGUAAAUUUCAAAAAUAACUUAUAUUUAAGUGUAUUUGAAGCGAAACUUAUUUUAGCAUAUUUAUAUUUUAUAUAAAUUAAAUAAGAACGUUCAACGACUAAAAGGUGAAUAGUGCUAUUGAUAAUCCUUUUAUUUAAUCCCAACAUCUUUAUUAGUUAUAUAUAUAUUA
rnacentral:rRNA from 1 species